ACUCCUACGGGAGGCAGCAGUGGGGAAUAUUGCACAAUGGGCGCAAGCCUGAUGCAGCCAUGCCGCGUGUAUGAAGAAGGCCUUCGGGUUGUAAAGUACUUUCAGCAGUGAGGAAGGUGGAGUCGUUAAUAGCGGCCUCAUUUGACGUUAGCUGCAGAAGAAGCACCGGCUAACUCCGUGCCAGCAGCCGCGGUAAUACGGAGGGUGCGAGCGUUAAUCGGAAUUACUGGGCGUAAAGCGCGCGUAGGCGGCUUGAUAAGCCGGUUGUGAAAGCCCCGGGCUCAACCUGGGAACGGCAUCCGGAACUGUCAGGCUAGAGUGCAGGAGAGGAAGGUAGAAUUCCCGGUGUAGCGGUGAAAUGCGUAGAGAUCGGGAGGAAUACCAGUGGCGAAGGCGGCCUUCUGGACUGACACUGACGCUGAGGUGCGAAAGCGUGGGUAGCAAACAGGAUUAGAUACCCUGGUAGGCUCUG
rnacentral:rRNA from 1 species